rnacentral:lncRNA from 1 species
GAUGAAGCUGCUGUCUUUCUCUCUUUAUGUUAACAAUUCAUCAUUUGGAAAUUUGGAACCCCCUCCUUCCCCUUUCUCCCUGACCAAAAGGAAAGCAGAUAGGAGGUGGGGAAGAAACAUCCAGACGCAUACCCGCCAUAGCUGAUGCAAACCGGGCUGAAGGAGAAAAUGGGGAAGGGAGAAGGGACCAAGGGGAAAGGGGAGGAGAGGAAAGGAGAGGGCGGAGACACCAGCGUAUAAAUAAUGUUGUUUCAGGUUACUAUGGGACACACGUUACGUUUCCAUGGUUGCAUUCAUUUAGUCUGAAUCUGAAUCAGCUGCUGUACAUCACAGCCGCACCUUCCCUGUCCCCGGACAUUGGACACUGUACACUGCCGGACAAUCCUCCCCCUCCACACACACACACACACACACACACACACACACACACACACACACACACACACACACACACAUACACACUCCUCUCUAGCCCUCCAGAGGCAUGCACCAUCUGGACUGCAUUCAAGUCUCUGGUCUGGCCUACUUUACACCCUCCCCUUCUUGAUGCGGUGGUCUCUCCAGGCUCCACUGCUUGCUCUGAUCAGCUUCAUACUAUCCCACCAAGGACUGCGGGUUUUGAGGUCCAGCUGCCACCAGCAGACCUUUCUGCCUGUCCACUUGACAUUGACCUGGCUGAAAGCAUCCUGGCAGAGAAUAAACUUUCCAUUUUGGCCUCUAAUCAAUCAUUGAAGAGUACAUUUUUACCCAGGAACUUCUUUAAUUUCUGAUGAAACUCUUUGAAGAUCCUUGGAAAGAAAACCAUAGAGGUACUAUGGAAAGGAUCUGAGAAAUCACAGCUAACCAGUAUAUUCCUCUGGGCUACAG